GACGAACGCUGGCGGCGUGCUUAACACAUGCAAGUCGAACGGAAAGGCCCCUUUGGGGGUACUCGAGUGGCGAACGGGUGAGUAACACGUGAGUAACCUGCCCUUGCCUUCGGGAUAACUUCAGGAAACUGGGGCUAAUACCGGAUAGGAAUCCUUGCUGCAUGGUGGGGGUUGGAAAGCUUCGGCGGUUUUGGAUGGACUCGCGGCUUAUCAGCUUGUUGGUGGGGUAGUGGCUUACCAAGGCGUUGACGGGUAGCCGGCCUGAGAGGGCGACCGGCCACAUUGGGACUGAGAUACGGCCCAGACUCCGACGGGAGGCAGAAGGGGGGAAGAUUGCACAAUGGGCGGAAGCCUGAUGCAGCAAGGCCGCGGGCGGGAUGACGGCCUUCGGGUUGUAAACCGCUUUCAGCAGGGGCGGAGCUUGUGGUGACGGUACCUGCAGAAGAAGCACCGGCUAACUACGUG
rnacentral:rRNA from 1 species